AAGAGCACACAAGGAGAAGAGGAUAGGAGAAACGACAGCGUUUGUAGUUGGCUGGGACCUUUUUCUUUUUCCUUUCAAGAACGUGUUCUAGGCCUUCUGGGUAAUGAGAUGCUUCCUCUGCUAGCAAAAUCAUUUGUGCUGUUUUACCGUUGAAGACUCCGCCGUCGCGUCUCCGUUCAGACAAAAACGCUACUUCACAUUCUCCAAAUUCCAUCAGACCUUCUCUUCCUUUUUCCCUGCUGCCUUCACCUUCACUUCUUUCCUAUUUCUAUGUACUGCUUCUAGAAUAUACCUCCUCUUUCAGGUAUUCUCUUAAGAGCAAGCCUGCUGUUAAGAGCAUUAAGUACAGGGGGAUUCGAAGCUGGAACUGUUGUAAGGUCGUACAUGCACUUGUCUAGGCUCGGUCUUGGUGUGCAAAAUGUGUUUAUAAUACAAUCAAAUAGAACUGAAAUGCUAAUGAGUCUAGAUGGGGAUAUCAUAGACUGCGUUCACAUGGCUCAUCAACUAACUUUUGAUCAUCCUCGCUUAGCACUUACUUCUUUGAAUUUCUUUCCAUUCUAUGUAUUUCUUCAAUGAUGAACCGAAAAUAUAUGGAAAAAAAUUGUGAUAAGUAGUUUAAACUAUUUUUUUAGAGUUAAAAUACCAAAAGUUUUUUCUUUGAAAGGAAAAACUUCAAAAUCUAAAGGUAUAGAAAUGAAUCUUUUGUAUGAAUUUAGUAACUUUUAUAAUAACAAAUAGGGAAACAAAAAAUUUAUAUGAUGAAUAUACUUUUUUUCCGUGAAAAAAAUAUAUAAAAAUUUGAGUAAACAAUAAAUAGUAAUUAUAUCAAUAAAAUUAAUUUUAACCCGCUACAAAGCUUGGGAAACUUUGCUUGUACAUGUAUUAAAACGAAAUCCAAAUUCACUGUUCAUAGAACAAUGUUAUGCCCUUUUAACCAUUUCAUUUUAAUUUAUUUCUAUUAUACCCUUAUCUUCCCUUGAAACUUCUUUUCGUUUGACGUUAGAUUUUUUUUCCCUACUGACUAAUUUCACUCUCAUCUUCUUCAUGUACCUUUCCAGAUGAUACUUCAAUGUAAUUUUCCUUUUUAUUUGCCUUUAUUCUCUUCUUAAUUUCUAUUAUUUUGUUGUUUUUUCUAUCAGAAACUUAAAAAUACUCAUUCAGGUUAUAGAUAUUGGCCUCUUCUUCUUUUCACAAUGAAUUUUGAAACAAGAGAAAUCAAUUUCUUAUUCUUUUGUUUGGCAUGAAACCUAUACAGAAAAUUUUCCAGGAAAGGAGAAGAUAAUAGGAAAAUUGUGGGUAUUAUAUAUGGAGACAGAGUAGAAUCAGAGUAGAAGAGAAAAUGAAUAUUUUUGGAAUUUGAAUAUUCCAAAGGGGAAGGAACCUUUGGGAUGGCUCAGAAGUGAGAUUGAACCAAGGACAAAGACUUCAACCUUCAAAAGAUAUGAAAAGUCUGGAAAGCUCAUUACUUGGGGUUCAACAGACGAUUUAGAUCGAACAUAUGUGACAUGUGGCAUCCAGGAAACAUGGGGUAAAAUGACCCUUUCUCAACUGGUAGACUGAGCAAUUUUUGGUUUCUUAAGCACAAAUAGUGGGGAGAAGUUUAUACAUGGAUUCGAAAGAGUGUGUUCCCUCAGGGAAAGUCUUUGGAUAUCCAUCUGCAGUGGGAAGGCUAGAAAUGAUGUGUUUGAAAGACAGUCUAUUUUUAACAGAGGAAGACAAUUUCAGUUUGUCUAUUUUUUAAUGCUUGCAAAACACGCAGCGAAGCGCGGGUCUUCUUCGCUGUGGAAACAGUUGCAGGCUUAGAUGGACAAACUAUCUUAGGUCAGAUAUAAAAAGGUGUCCUUUUACAAGAAAUUUGUUAUUCAACUUCAUGGUAUUAUUGGAAACAGGUAAUAAGGACGAGUACAAUCAAACAGACCCCAUAGUUUUAUGAUCUUUGAUGGAUGAAUUAAUUGAUUAUUUUAGUUUCUUGAUUGGUUAAUUAAUAUCUUCAAGAUUUGGAAAAAAUAAUACUACAAAACAGUAGGUUAUGUCCCAGAGUGGUCGAAUCUGCUAUUCUUGAAUUUGUAAUUAUUAGUUUUUGACCAUCCAUCCAGUAAAAUGUUCCACCAACACCAAGUUGAAUCUAAUAGCAGAUCAUUACUCUGCAUUUAACUUGUCCUCUUGUUUAAUUCAUAUUUUUGCAGUUUAAAUCCACUUGAAAAUUUUAUUACCCCAUUUUUCUAGAAAAUGAUUGAUAGAAGAACUUGAUCUAAUCUACUCUGCCCUGAACAUUUAUGCAGUUCAUUGCCUUUGUUGACAAUGUGAUGACUGGGUGAGUUUUUAAUUUUUUAUUUAACAUUUAAAAUGACAAACUGCUGUAUUAUAAUAUGAUAUAAAUAUACCAGUUCUUAUCAUUUUACUGCA